rnacentral:rRNA from 1 species
UACGGAGGGAGCUAGCGUUGUUCGGAAUUACUGGGCGUAAAGCGCGCGUAGGCGGCUUUGUAAGUUAGAGGUGAAAGCCCGGGGCUCAACCCCGGAAUUGCCUUUAAGACUGCAUCGCUAGAAUCCAGGAGAGGUGAGUGGAAUUCCGAGUGUAGAGGUGAAAUUCGUAGAUAUUCGGAAGAACACCAGUGGCGAAGGCGACUUACUGGACACAUAUUGACGCUGAGGUGCGAAAGCGUGGGGAGCAAACAGG